rnacentral:lncRNA from 10 species
UGCACUUCCCCUAUUUCACGUGGUGCUGGUGGGACUGCCAAUCACAGCGCCUUCUUCAGCCUCCUGGUCACAUGAAUGGGACCUGGCCAAUCACAAAACUCCAUUCUCCGACCUCCAAUGAUUGAGAAGACCGCAGGACCAAAGCAGGACCAAUCAGAGCCUUCCAUGGAUGCUAGGCUAAUAGGAACCCUGAGAAGGAGGUUAUGUUCUUUCUCCAGGAUGGUGGAUUAUUAGGGUCAUGGAGCCUGACGCUGCCAGAACUUUUUUUCCCACCUCAUGGAAAGAAGAACUUCCUGGAAGGAAGGCAGGACUGAGAGUUGGAAUGAAAAUGACAGAGCCCUGUCCACACCGUUAAAGUACUCAAAUCCAGAUAAAGUUUGAACUUUUGCCGGGAGUGUCCCUCCAAAACGAUCAUCAAUCAGACAGAAUAGCUGCAAAUACCAACUCACAGACCAGGUUGGGAAUUAGGUGAUAGGGUCUUGCUAUGUUGCCUCGGCUGGAAUGCAGUGGCUGUUCAUAGACAUUAUCACAGCACACUACAGUCUCAAACUCCUGGACUCAAGCAAUCCUCCUGCCUCAGCCUCCUGAGUAGCUAGGACUACUGGGAUGCACUACUGCUCUUGGCAAAUUAAGGAUUUUGAGAUGGAGAGACUAUCCUGGAUUAUCUGAUGGGCUUAAUCAUUGACAAAGGUUCUUAUAUAAGGAAAAGUCAAUGUGAUAAUGGAAGCAGAUUUGAAGAUGCUGUGCAACUGGCUUUGAAGAUGGAGGACGGGGCCACAAGCCAAGGAUUGUUGGCAGCCUCUAAGCUGGAAGAGGUAAGAAGCAUAUUCUCCUGUGGCACCUCCGGGAGAAAUGCAGUACUGCCUAUACCUUGACUUUAGCCAAGUGAAACUAAUUUUAGACUUCUCACCUCCAGAACUGUAAGAUAAUAAAUUUGUGUUGAUUUAAGACACUAUGUUUGUGGUAAUUGGUUACAGCAAUAGGAAACUAAUAGACCAGGCAUUAUGUUAAGUGCUUUAUAUCAUUAAAGAAAUGUAUACAAAUCCAC